CGGCCAUGGCUAGAGUUUGAUCCUGGCUCAGGAUGAGCGCUAGCGGGAGGCCUAACACAUGCAAGCCGAGCGGUAGAGAUUCUUCGGAAUCUUGAGAGCGGCGCACGGGUGCGGAACACGUGUGCAACCUGCCUUUAUCUGGGGGAUAGCCUUUCGAAAGGGAGAUUAAUACCCCAUAAUAUAAUGAGUGGCAUCACUUGUUAUUGAAAACUCCGGUGGAUAGAGAUGGGCACGCGCAAGAUUAGAUGGUUGGUGAGGUAACGGCUCACCAAGUCAAUGAUCUUUAGGGGGCCUGAGAGGGUGAUCCCCCACACUGGUACUGAGACACGGACCAGACUCCUACGGGAGGCAGCAGUGAGGAAUAUUGGACAAUGGGUGAGAGCCUGAUCCAGCCAUCCCGCGUGAAGGACGACGGCCCUAUGGGUUGUAAACUUCUUUUGUACAGGGAUAAACCUUUCCACGUGUGGAAAGCUGGAGGUACUGUACGAAUAAGCACCGGCUAACUCCGUGCCAGCAGCCGCGGUAAUACGGAGGGUGCAAGCGUUAUCCGGAUUUAUUGGGUUUAAAGGGUCCGUAGGCGGAUCUGUAAGUCAGUGGUGAAAUCUCAUAGCUUAACUAUGAAACUGCCAUUGAUACUGCAGGUCUUGAGUAAGGUAGAAGUAGCUGGAAUAAGUAGUGUAGCGGUGAAAUGCAUAGAUAUUACUUAGAACACCAAUUGCGAAGGCAGGUUACUAUGUCUUAACUGACGCUGAUGGACGAAAGCGUGGGGAGCGAACAGGAUUAGAUACCCUGUAGUCCACGCUGUAAACGAUGCUAACUCGUUUUUGGGUUUUCGGAUUCAGAGACUAAGCGAAAGUGAUAAGUUAGCCACCUGGGGGAGUACGAACGCAAGUUUGAAACUCAAAGGAAUUGACGGGGGCCCGCACAAGCGGUGGAUUAUGUGGUUUAAUUCGAAUGAUCGCCGAGGAACCUUACCAAGACUUAAAUGGAAUUGACGAAUUAAAAUAGAUCCUCCUUUCGGGCCAUUUUCUCAGGGUGCUG
rnacentral:rRNA from 1 species